AACACCAACCCAAAGCUUCACAACCUCUCGGCAAAGAGGGAAAUUUGGAUUUGGAGUCGGGGGUGGGGAGGCAGUCUGCUCUGAGAGGAGGAAGCAAGGCGUUAGGGGAAGGAUGGAGUGUUAUCCCAAAGCUCCCAGCAGCACUGGGGGGGGGGGGGUAGUCAGCAAUGGCUUCCUUUCACUUUUGCACACCCUUCGGCUCCCCACAGACGCUGUGGCCUGGGCUGGGUUUGAACCUUUCGCCCACCAAGAUCAGGGACAACAGCGAGCCAUGAAAGUUUGCAGUGCCAGGCUCCUGCCAGGGUCCAAGACCCAAGGGCACCCGCUCCCUCCUUUCCCCAGCAGCUCCCUGAAGACCCAAGAGGGCGGGGGGGGGGGAAUAGAAUAGGUUGGAAGCUUGAUAUCUCCCUGGAGAAUCCAGCGUGUGAGUCAUGACGGUAGAAGCACUUUGAAAAAGAAACAGGGUCAUCGCGAUGCCUAGAAGUGUGGUGCCUGCUGUGGACUGGAGCCUGGGAACUGCCUGCCAGGUUCCAGGAGAUACAGUGGACACGUACCUCCCCUGUCCCAGCCUCAACCUCUCAAGGAUCGGCUAUAACAUCCCUGGCACCUGGACCCCCAAAAGCCUUGGUCUCCAGGAGCCUCUUGCUGAAAACAGUUAAGUCCAUCAGGAAGCCGGUACCAGGAAUGCAAUCCCGAGAAAGGGCAGGCCUGUGGUAGGGAGAGGUGAGACACCUGAAAUCAGGCCAAGGUGCCACCCUAGCAGGCCGUGAGGUCUCACCUUCCUUCCUCAGACAGCUUGGCCUUUGAACCCAUGGACCCGAGCUCAGGCCACUGUCGAUUGUUACUGUAAAGUCAAACACUGCGUCCCUUCCUGGAGCCUGAGAGAGGCUACCCAGUCCCCACUCCCUGUUCAGGGUUGUUUUGGCCUCGCGCGUGGGGCUCUGCACCGUCAGGCAGCCCCAGCCCAUCACAGCAUAGUGGGAGCCAAUGCUGGACCGAGGCUACUAGCAAGAAGCUGGGACAGCGCUUUGCCUCAGGGUGGAAGCCUGGUUAGGAAAGUUAGGCACUGGAACCUCGGGGUCUCUGGCAGCCUCGGCUGUUCCGAGUCUAGCGGGCUGGAAGACGGUAAAGCCGGAGCAGACACCCGAGCCCGUUCCGCAGCAGAAAGGCAGCCCCCGGCCGACGUUCAUCCCAAGUUUGCCGCGGUCGCCAGAUAAGGAGGAAGAGGGCUGGGGCGAGAGCGGGUGCUCCCAGGCUACCAAGCCCGGCCGACGCCUCCCAGCGCCUAGUACUCUGCGGUCCCCCGGCACCGCCACCGCCUCCGCGCACUGCCGGCAGACACCGGCCCCCAGCUAGGGGCGUCUCCCGCCGCGCCCGCACCCCUCCCGGCCGCUGCGGUGCAGUCAGCUCCUGCUUGCCCCGGGGCCCGCGGGGCCCGGCCGAUACCUGGUGGCGGGAGCGCCGGGAGCUGCUGCAGCGCCCAGCGCCGGCUCCAUCCUCGGUCUGGAGUCAGGCUCGCCGGGGGCCCGCGGGUGGCGGCGGCGGCGGCAUCCUCCUCCUCCUCCUCCUCCUCCUCCUCCUCCCGCGCCCUGCUCCUCGGCCUCCCUCCUCCCGAGCCUCUUCCUCCGCCUCCGUGCGUCCCUCACCGGCCCCUCUCCAUGGCCCGGGGGGCGCUAGCCCAGGGUGGCUCGCUCCGCACAGUGCUUUCUCCUGAGCAGAGCGAGAAGGCGACCGUGGGCCAGAGGGGCACAGGCCAGGGACCGGGACCCCGAGCACCGCAGCCCCAGGCUCCGGAGGAGAGCAGCCGCCGUGGAGGCCGGAGUCUCACGGAGCACCCUCCUCACGUCCGCGAGCCGAAAGCGGCGGCGGCUACUUCAGCGCCGAGCUAGCGGGUGGCAGGCGCUGCGGUCCCGGCUCCACCCCCAGCGCCGCCCGCCCCUCCUCCGCCCGACCCCGUCAGCGCGCGCCCUCCCACCCCCGCGCAGCCCCGGCGGGUAGCGCUGGGACAUCCCCUCCAGAAGGGCUCCCGGGCCAACCCACCCGCGGGCCGGGGCAGCCACGCCCACCCCCCACUCCACCCACCCCGAGUUGAGGAGGCCAAGCAGCUGGAGCACCUCUUGGCCGACCCUCUCUCCUGCACCCGCCACUAGCGAAGGCAGGGCUCGCCAGAGCCUCUGGGUACCCAAGUCUGGCUGCAGCAACAGCCUGACCCUGGAUCCCAAUCGCCAUCCUUUCCCCAGCCAGGGCAAGCCGAGACUCCCGAACCCAGAACUCGAGUCGGUUUUCCACUACAUACCCCUGCCUCCCUGUUCCUGCUCUUUUCACUACCACACCCCCACCCCCACCCCCACCUCACCCCCGCCAACCAAGAAAUGUUCCACUUGCCCCAGGUUCUGUCAUGCCUUUUUCAGCAGGGGCCUGGUGGAGGUGGCCGCCCGCCUGCACCCCUCCCGCUAGUCCAACACUGGAGUUCCUCUGCGGGAGGAAGCCUUCCACCCUGCCCAAUCCCUUCCUCCUGAGCUACAUCUGGCUUCCCAGGUGAAAGGCCGGCGCUUGAGAGACCAGGCUGGCACCGCUGUGGUCCCUCAUCCUCCGCACAAAUAUUGACGGAGCAUCUCCUGCAGAGGUCAUAAGCACCAAGCGCUAGCUGGUGGUAAUACAGCAGACCCCUGAGCUCUCACUGUGGCCCGGAGGAAAAACAAAGUGAGCCGGCAGAAGAAUGUCUGUGGCCCCUGAGCUGGAGAGGAAGAAAACCCCGCUUCUGCCUGUCCACCACCAGGGCCGGGCCCCACCAUGGCAUUUUCCCAUCUGAAGAUCAGUAGGUAGUUUGCAGGCCUCUGGCCAGGAGCUUGUCCAAAGGCAGAGGUAGAGCAGUGGGUUUCCAUCUCCACCAUCCCUGAAUUCUCCUGGAAUCUCUCACUUCCACAGUCUGUCCAUCCAUCACGCCAGACAUGGGUGCAGAGGACAGCAGGGCUUUUGAAAACGAGGCUGGAGUUUCCCAGGGCAGAGAAGCCCUUGUGGGUUUGCUGUAUGGCUGCAUGAUGCAGAUUCUCUGUGCCUCAGUUUCCUCGUGGGAAAAUGGAGAUCUUAUUUCCCAGGGCUACUGUGAACACCAGAUAGUAAAAUAGAUGUAAAGCACACGGUGCUUAACCACUUUAGUCGCCGGUUUUGGAGUGGAUGUUUACUUGCUAAGAAAGGAAUAACAUGCCUAGAGAUCAUCUGGGAGGCCGCAAGAGUCAUAUCUUCAGAGAAGUCUCCACGUGGAGCCUGAUGGCAUGAAGGUCCCUGCUCCAAGGGUCCCAGUAGGCUAAGUGGCCAUUUAUCUUGGUUACAGUUGGUUACAGUUACUUAUCUUGGUUAGGAGUUGCCAACUCCUAAUUAUAAACUCCUGUCCCCCACCCUCUCCCAGAGAAGGCAGCUAGGGUUGCCUUUCCUAGGUCCUCCAAAGCGGCAGCUCCAGCUCCCACUCUACUUCCCCCACUGCAGCCAGGGCUGUAGGGCCCGUUCCCAACCCCAACAUCCAGGUGGCCACAUAGGUUCAGUUACCCGGUCACCCAACAGUAAGUGGCUAUGUUCUGAAAUGCCCAAGGAGAAAGAGCUGGCCUCGAGGGAGCACUCCAGAGCUCAGACCCCUCCCCUUUCUCCCGGAACAGCCUGCCUCCCCUCCCCAAGGAUGAACCCGAAGCUCCUCUUUCACCCAGGCUAAUCCUUGCCCGAAUCUAAGCUAGACAAGAAGAGUCAGGGCUUAGGGCCUCCUCUUUCUUCCACUCUCAAAUCCCAGCAACUCAUUUUUCAAACUCUGCUGUAUUUCGGGUGGAGGAGGGGGGUGGCUAAAAUGUAAAGACAGAGUGGAAUUGGGGGAAAAUAUAAACUCUAAAAAAUAGACAAAGACCUGGUCUCAGAGGCACCAUGUCUGUUUCCAGUUACCUGGGAUCUUGCCACGUAACAAAAGCCUGUUUCUCAGGUGCCUACUGUGUGCAAGGCGCCUUGGCAGGUGCUGUCCAGGAAGGGAGCAUUUCGGGGAAAGCAGCAAAGGCUUUGCACUCAGGAAGCCUGGCUCCCACAACCAUGAAACAGCAAAUAGUUAUGGGGUGGGGGGGCAGCUGGAGAGGUGGCUCAGCCAUUAAGAGCACACAUUGCUCUUGCAGAGGACUCCAGUUCUCAGCAUCCAUUUCGGGCAGCUGACACUGCCUGUGGCUGCUGCUCCAGGGAGCUCCAAUGCCCUCUUCUGGAAAUCCACUCUUGUGCACAGACACUUACACACAUAGACAUACUUUAAAAAUAAGUUUUCUUUUUAACUUUAGAAAGAACAUUCACUGAAAAUGUGAAUUUUUUUAAGGGUCCUGGGAAGUCAGAGGGAGAUAAAGCCUUGUAGGAUCAUUCAGGAAGUGCUUCCUGGAGGAGGAGGAGGAGACUUCAGGAACUAGUUUGUAGGAUGGACAAGGCAUACAAGGCAAGGGAGGAAACAGCAACCGGCCUGACUCUUUGACCUUUGCUAAGAGGACUGCUGGAAGUGACUAAGGUCUGGGCUCUCCUCUGGAGCUGGGCCUUGGGGUGUUCUCCCCUUGGAGAUUAUUUUGUUGGCUCCUCAAAAGCAGCCUGAUGUGAGAGGGACUGCCAUUCCCACUUUACAGAUGAAGAAACUAGGAGCUGAAGGAGGCCUGUGACUUGCCCAGGUAGCAGAACUGUCUGUGCCACCCACUUUUUUAUUUCAGUCUGUUCUGGGAGAUUGAUGGCCCAGGCUUUAAGAUGUGCAGCAGAAGUCCUCCACUCCCCGUGUCUCCCUGGGAUGCUGACAAGACUACCAGCUUGCAGAGGGCAACUCCCAGCUGUCCCCGGACUCCAGGCCUAAACAGCUUUGGCACCUGUAGAGAAAACCCUAACCACAACACCCUGGGUAGGGCAGGGUGACCCGGAGCGCUAGCCCCUAGUGCCACACUGGAGUAGUCUGGGAUGCUUCCUGUAGGAGAGGCCUGGCAAUGGAGGUCUGGAGCUGCUUUCACGGGACCCUCAACUGACUGACCACCCUUACUCAUCCCAGGAGAGAGAAGGGCAAAGAAGAUAUCCGCUACUCAUGUAUCUUACCUGGACUGAAGUCCCGUAUCUUGGGGUCCCAGUUCAGAGGCCGUCAUCUGGACUGACUCUGGAGAAUGAAGCCAGGAGGAGCUGGGACUCUCUCCCUUCUUCAACUGCAACUUCAGCCUCCCCAUCCAACAAACACAAGACCCAUAUCAUCCAGCUCCCUCAGGGUCCAAACCUCCUCUCCAUCAGAUCCAGAUCAGAUCAGAUGCAGGCCCAGAAAUGCCUGGAAGGCUGGGGAAAGGCCUUCUACUGUACUCAACUCCAUGCAACCAACGUCACAAGAGACCAACAUGUCCAGGAGUCCAGAGUGUAACGCUUAAGACACCCACCAAGGACAUCUCCCAUUCCUGAGUCUUUAGGGUCACCUGGAGGCUCUUCUGACCAAUCGCUGAGCUUGGAUUACAACAUCAAUACCAUCCAAUCCAGUCUCCACAAGGGCUGCAAUGACUAACCAUUGGGAAAUAGUAGGCAUACAGUCAAAGCACCUCCCUUGCCAGGCCAGGAGCUCAGAAUCUCUCCCCUUCCUCUCUCUGAAGAAUAGUUGUACCCCCUGCCAGAAGUGGCCAACUCUUGGUCAGGAGACUGAGGUCACUUCUUCCACUGGACAGCCCAGGCCUAGUCACUGCCAAUACCUGCAUGGCUCUGGGAACUCAGCCCAGGAACAAUGGGGCCAUUCACUCCACCUAGCCUGUGCAUAAUGACCCUCCUGGCCUGUCUUUGUGCCUAGACUAUGUAUUAAAUGUGUAUACAUGCGUGUGUGCAUGGGGGCGGGGGGGGAUAGAACUGAAGAGCCCAAACAGAGACAGCAGAAGGAGCACCAGCCAGGAAUUUGUAAGAAAACCAGUCACUUUUAUUGAGCAAUUACUAUAUACACUUAUUAUCCUCACAACACCCUGUGAUUCAGUUCCAGUAUAACACCCCAACACAUAUUUGUUGUUGUCAGGGCCUUGUGCAUGCUAGGCAAGCACUCUACCACUGAGCUACAUCCCCAGCCCUUAUGCCACAUUUGAAAUAAAAGAAGACAGAGAUGAUAGUGACUUCUACACAGAGGUCAUGACUACAAAGGAGCAAAGGGGGCCUUUCUGAGGCCCCGUUCUUAAAGGUUGCAGUCACAUGGGUAUGCACCUCUGCAGAGGCGCACUGUGUGAACCUCUGAAGAACUGUGCAAAACAGGAAAAAAAAAUAAUGGUGCAUGUAGCAGCCACGGGAUGGAACUUUUUCCAGCCGCAAAAUUAAAUUUCCAGCAAGGAAGUGUUUUGGAUACUCACAUAGGUCUCCUCAAAUAGUCCAUUAAGUGGAAAAGAGCAGCAUGCAAGAUGUUGUUUUGCAGAGAAAUAUGCAGACACAUAUUCUAAAAUGCCAUCUAUACAUGUCUGCCUGUGUGUGUGUAGAUCAUUUCCAGAAAGAGCCCCAGAAACCACGACUACUUUUGGAGAGAGGAGCCUUCUGGCCCCAGACAGAGGCAGGAAGAAACAUUUUCACAGUACAGCCUUUGCUUCACCAUGGGAGCAAAUCACUUAUUCAAAAAUGAAGGGAAAUUAAAACAAACGAUCAGAGAACCUAAGUUACAAGUUCCCAGCUAUUAUCCCAGUGGCUUUUGUACAUUUGAAAAAAAUCAAUAAAUAUGUUCACACAAGUCUUACUGGCUGUGGUUGCUCACUCCCCACCUCCCCGCAAUGGUCAGGGUCCACUGCAGACUAUCCAGGACCCACAUUGUGGCCAGGAGAUGGAACCAGUUUGAAGCACCAGAGUAUCUACAGGCCCCAUAAAGCCGAGCAGCCCCCACACCCCUGAGUGGGAUGUGUUCUGUAGGAUGCUGAUAUUUCAUCCUGGUUUUCCAGCUGAGGGUGACUCCCCAGGUCACAACACACACAAGUGGCUUGGAGCCCACAUCUCUGCCUCCUCCUUGAUGUCUGCAAACAAACCCCAACUAACAAUGGUCUGAGCCUGAGGAAGAUCCAGAAAUCCAGGCUGAGAGGCUUAUAGGAAGCUGUGAUCCUAAGCUAAGAGAUAGGGAAUGAGAGUAAAGGCAGAGGGGCUUUUGCUGACAACAGCUGAGUACACAACUUCUUGAAAAGAUCAAGUGUGACUUUCUGUUCUAUGUUCAAACCCCACUCCCAGCAAUGU